UUGCGGUUAAAAAGCUCGUAGUUGGAUUUCUGUCGAGAACGCGCGGUCCACGCUUUGCGUGAGUAUCUGUGUCGGUCUUGGCAUCCUCUGUAGGAUCGUUUCUGCGCUUGAUUGCGUGGAGCGGAACUGCAGACUUUUACUUUGAGGAAAUUAGAGUGUUCACGGCAGGCAAACGCCUUGAAUACAUUAGCAUGGAAUAAUAACAUAGGACCUUGGUUCUAUUUUGUUGGUUUCUAGAGCUGAGGUAAUGAUUAAUAGGGAUAAUUGGGGGCAUUCGCCUUAACACGUCAGAGGUGGAAUUCUUGGAUUGUGUUACGACGAACUACUGCGAAAGCAUUUGCCAAGGAUGUUUUCAUUGAUCAAGAACGAAAGUUAGGGGAUCGAAGACGCUUAGAUACCGUCGUAGUCUUAACCAUAAAUUAUGCCAACUAGAGAUUGGAGGUAGUUUUUUUUAUGACUCCUCCAGCACCUUAUGAGAAAUCUAAGUCUUUGGGUUCCGGGGGGAGUAUG
rnacentral:rRNA from 1 species